rnacentral:rRNA from 1 species
CCUACGGGUGGCAGCAGUGAGGAAUAUUGGUCAAUGGGCGCGAGCCUGAACCAGCCAAGUAGCGUGAAGGAUGAAUGCCCUACGGGUUGUAAACUUCUUUUAUAAAGGAAUAAAGUGAGGCACGUGUGCCUUUUUGUAGGUACUUUAUGAAUAAGGAUCGGCAAACUCCGUGCCAUCAGCCGCGGUAAUACGGAGGAUCCGAGCGUUAUCCGGGUUUAUUGGGUUUAAAGGGAGCGUAGAUGGGUUGGUAACGCAGUAGUGAAAGUUUGCGGAUCAACCCUAAAAUUGCAAUUGAUACUGGCAGUCUUGAGCACAGGUGAGGUAGGCGGAAUGCGUGGUGUAGCGGUGAAAUGCUUAGAUAUCGCGCAGAACUCCGAUUGCGAAGGCAGCUUACUAAACUGCCUCUGACAUUGAUGCUCGAAAGUGUGGGUAUCAAACAGGAUUAGAUACCCGUGUAGUC